GACGAACGCUGGCGGCGUGCUUAACACAUGCAAGUCGAACGGAAAGGCCCUGCUUUUGUGGGGUGCUCGAGUGGCGAACGGGUGAGUAACACGUGAGUAACCUGCCCUUGACUUUGGGAUAACUUCAGGAAACUGGGGCUAAUACCGGAUAGGAGCUCCUGCUGCAUGGUGGGGGUUGGAAAGUUUCGGCGGUUGGGGAUGGACUCGCGGCUUAUCAGCAUGUUGGUGGGGUAGUGGCUUACCAAGGCUUUGACGGGUAGCCGGCCUGAGAGGGUGACCGGCCACAUUGGGACUGAGAUACGGCCCAGACUCCUACGGGAGGCAGCAGUGGGGAAUAUUGCACAAUGGGCGGAAGCCUGAUGCAGCAACGCCGCGUGCGGGAUGACGGCCUUCGGGUUGUAAACCGCUUUCGCCUGUGACGAAGCGUGAAUGACGGUAAUGGGUAAAGAAGCACCGGCUAACUACGUG
rnacentral:rRNA from 1 species